rnacentral:rRNA from 1 species
GAUGAACGCUGGCGGCGUGCCUAAUACAUGCAAGUCGAGCGAACAGACGAGGAGCUUGCUCCUCUGACGUUAGCGGCGGACGGGUGAGUAACACGUGGAUAACCUACCUAUAAGACUGGGAUAACUUCGGGAAACCGGAGCUAAUACCGGAUAAUAUAUUGAACCGCAUGGUUCAAUAGUGAAAGACGGUUUUGCUGUCACUUAUAGAUGGAUCCGCGCCGCAUUAGCUAGUUGGUAAGGUAACGGCUUACCAAGGCAACGAUGCGUAGCCGACCUGAGAGGGUGAUCGGCCACCCUGGAACUGAGCAACGGUCCAGACUCCUAAGGGAGGCAGCAGUAGGGAAUCUUCCGCAAUGGGCGAAAGCCUGACGGAGCAACGCCGCGUGAGUGAUGAAGGUCUUCGGAUCGUAAAACUCUGUUAUUAGGGAAGAACAAAUGUGUAAGUAACUAUGCACGUCUUGACGGUACCUAAUCAGAAAGCCACGGCUAACUACGUG